rnacentral:rRNA from 1 species
GGGAUAACUCCGGGAAACCGGGGCUAAUACCGGAUAACAUUUUGAACCGCAUGGUUCGAAAUUGAAAGGCGGCUUCGGCUGUCACUUAUGGAUGGACCCGCGUCGCAUUAGCUAGUUGGUGAGGUAACGGCUCACCAAGGCAACGAUGCGUAGCCGACCUGAGAGGGUGAUCGGGCACACUGGGACUGAGACACGGCCCAGACUCCUACGGGAGGCAGCAGUAGGGAAUCUUCCGCAAUGGACGAAAGUCUGACGGAGCAACGCCGCGUGAGU